rnacentral:rRNA from 1 species
GACGAACGCUGGCGGCGUGCUUAACACAUGCAAGUCGAACGGAAAGGCCCUGCUUUUGUGGGGUGCUCGAGUGGCGAACGGGUGAGUAACACGUGAGUAACCUGCCCUUGACUUUGGGAUAACUUCAGGAAACUGGGGCUAAUACCGGAUAGGAGCUCCUGCUGCAUGGUGGGGGGUGGAAAGUUUCGGCGGGUGGGGAUGGACUCGCGGCUUAUCAGCUUGUUGGUGGGGUAGUGGCUUACCAAGGCUUUGACGGGUAGCCGGCCUGAGAGGGUGACCGGCCACAUUGGGACUGAGAUACGGCCCAGACUCCAACGGGAGGCAGCAGUGGGGAAUCUUGCACAAUGGGCGGAAGCCUGAUGCAGCAACGCCGCGUGCGGGAUGACGGCCUUCGGGUUGUAAACCGCUUUCGCCUGUGACGAAGCGUGAGUGACGGUAAUGGGUAAAGAAGCACCGGCUAACUACGUG